CAGCCGCCGCGGUAAUACGUAGGGUGCGAGCGUUAAUCGGAAUUACUGGGCGUAAAGCGUGCGCAGGCGGUUUUGUAAGACAGGCGUGAAAUCCCCGGGCUCAACCUGGGAAUGGCGCUUGUGACUGCAAAGCUAGAGUGCGGCAGAGGGGGAUGGAAUUCCGCGUGUAGCAGUGAAAUGCGUAGAUAUGCGGAGGAACACCGAUGGCGAAGGCAAUCCCCUGGGCCUGCACUGACGCUCAUGCACGAAAGCGUGGGGAGCAAACAGGAUUAGAUACCCGCGUAGUCCCUGUCUCUUAUAA
rnacentral:rRNA from 1 species